rnacentral:lncRNA from 1 species
AUCUGCGCAAGGGGGCACGAUACUCUGAGGUCCCUUCAGGAUACACAUCAUCCAGUUCUGCUUGUUCAAAAGAUAAAUCAAAUCAAAUAAUAUAUAUAAUAAAAAAAACAAUGUUAAAUGUUAAAUAUAUAUUAUUUAAAAAAAUAAAAAAAGAAAGAAAAAGAAAAGAAAAAAAUAGCUCUUUAUAUAUAGGUUGCGUUACAAAAGAUAAAUCAAAUCAAAUAAUAUAUAUAUAAAAAAACAAUGUUAAAUGUUAAAUAUAUAUUAUUUAAAAAAAUAAAAAAAGAAAGAAAAAGAAAGAAAAAAUAAGACUCUUUAUAUAUAGGUUGCGUUACAAAGUGCUUUUUAAAAAAGACAAAUCUUAGGUUUUGAAAGCAGUAUGUGCACUUGGUAUUGGGUUUUUUCCCACAAAUAAGGUGCCCUUGAAUUAUAUUGUUACCAGAUCCGUUAACAAAGAUCUCUAUUUCACCUUAGAGAUACUUGUAGUUGUUGAUUUCAAGACUUGUAGGUUGAAAAUCUUGUAGGCUGCCUUUGCGAAUUAUUGAUAUUGCACGAGGUUUGUUUUAAUCUUUACACAGCAAGAUGACUUCAUACACGUGGAUUUUACUCCUUCUGGCAAGUCUUGUGGCAACAAGAGCGCAAGAUUUUGACCUCAGUGAUGCUUUUUAUGAGGCUGACAAGCCCCCUCCGAAGCCAACAGUGAAACCAGCCCCACCGAAAAACCCAGAUUCAGGAUUUGAUAUUUCAGAUGCCUUCAAUUUGGGUAAGACUAUUUGGGCUCAGAAAUAUUCACAAAAAGAGUCGAAAUGAAUUGUGGUCAUAGUCUUUAAUUUUUAUCACAAUUUUGUGGGUUUUUUUUUAUUAGGGCCUGCUGAAUAUAUAUAUUGAUUAAACUCAUUGUUUAUUCAUGUCCUCGUUUGUUUAUGUAUUUUAAUUUGAAAUGUUCUGGAUAAGCGUUCCCUCUACAAGUGUGACAACAUGGUGGACAUUUUGCGGCACUGCAUGGCAAAAUGAACACACCUUUGGAGAUUUUGAUUGUUUUUUUAUUUAAUUUUUUAAUUACUCCAAAAAUUAAUUAAUUAAUUAAUUAAUUAAUCAUGUUUUGUGGGGAAAAAAAAAUGGACUAAUCAAAUUCUGCAGCUGCAUGCAGUUGAAUUUCUUGCAGUUCAGUAAAUUCCUCUGUUAUGCCAAUUCAAAUUCCACAAGCCCUUGGUUUUCAGUGUAAUAACUAAACUUGAAUUACCUUAACAUCAAAACAAGUUUCUUUAUGACUAUUGUUUGUUGUACACAGACCUGAAAAAACCUGUAGUGGUUCCCUCCAAAUCAGAGGUGUUUAUGUAAUUAUGUAUAAAGUUUGUGGGUUACACUUUUAUUUUAAGGUACCCUUGUUGUAGUGUAAUAAUAUUUAGAAGUAAUAUUAAUUAGCAACAUGGGUGUUAGGGUUAGUUAGUUAAGUACAUGUAACAAGACACUUUAAAAUAAAAUGCUACCAGUUUAUACACUGUAGUAACAUUUAAGUAAUCCAUGCAUUUAUUUGGAGGUUUGUAUUGAGCUCUUUUAAGGCAAUUUAUUGAUGUUUUUUUCAGUUUUUCCUUUCUUUUUGUAGUGUUACAAGCUCUUGGUGCAUAAAGAAGAUCUGUAAAGUUACAAAGACUAAAGUCUCAAAUCCAAAGAGAUAUUCUUUAUAAAAGUCCUGGACGAGUGUUAGAGACACAUUCACAUGUUCACGUCCCUCUAAGCUGCGCGCACGCGCGGCCGCGCAGAAGAAAUAAUGUGCCCCGCACAUGCAAAAAAAAUAAAAUAAAUAAAAAUAAAAAAUAAGCCAUUGGGAUAGCCAUUUGAUUGAAUUCUAAUAAAAUCGAAAGAAUCCCAAUGCUCGGGCAAACCGCUAUAGACUUGAUGUCGCUAUAGAGUUAGAACCGGUGAAUCCGGUUGUGCUCCAAACAGUGCUGCCAGACGUACGAUAAUUAUCAUAUUUUUACGAUAAUUUUGACCUCUGUACGAUGUAAGAUCAAUAAUGAAAGAAAUCCUAUAAUGUACGAUAAUUUCAGAAUUUUAUGGCACUUCAAAUGAUUUCAUUGUAAUCUGAGGGCUUCUAUACUUAUUGAUCUAGCUGGGCAUCGUUCCUACUGUCUGUAAGGAGAACAUGGUGUUACGCACAUUUUCUGUCGCAUCUCACGUUACGUCUUACGAAACAGUUGUGCUGCUUUAUUUUUUUUUGGAACCUGUUACUUUUUCUUUGAUUAAUAAAAAGUUAAAAAAGAACAGCAUUUAUUCAAAAUAGAAAUCUUUUCUAACAAUAUAAGUCUUUACUAUCAAUUUUAUCCAUUUAACACAUCCUUGCUGAAUAAAGUUUCUUUAACUUUAUUUGGUAUUUUUUUUAAGUUCUUUAAAAAAGAAGGAAAAAAAUUUCUUACCCCAAACUUUUGAAUAGUGUAUAUUG